CUGGUAUUAUAUUUGAUUUCAGAGGAGCUAGACUGCCAAUCUGAACAGCAUUGGACAACAUGGAAAACCAGAAAAGGAUAAGCAGCUUGCAGAAGAGGAGGAGAACUCACACUGAAAUGGUGAAGUUGUAAGACUGAAGCAUCUUAGAUUGCUGAAUCACCA
rnacentral:lncRNA from 1 species